rnacentral:rRNA from 1 species
GAUGAACGCUGGCGGCGUGCUUAACACAUGCAAGUCGAACGAAGCACUUUAUUUGAUUUUCUUCGGAAAUGAAGAUUUUGUGACUGAGUGGCGGACGGGUGAGUAACGCGUGGAUAACCUGCCUCAUACAGGGGGAUAACAGCCGGAAACGGCUGCUAAUACCGCAUAAGCGCACGGUACCGCAUGGUACAGUGUGAAAAACUCCGGUGGUAUGGGAUGGAUCCGCGUCUGAUUAGCCAGUUGGCGGGGUAACGGCCCACCAAAGCGACGAUCAGUAGCCGACCUGAGAGGGUGACCGGCCACAUUGGGACUGAGACACGGCCCAAACUCCUACGGGAGGCAGCAGUGGGGAAUAUUGCACAAUGGGGGAAACCCUGAUGCAGCGACGCCGCGUGAGUGAAGAAGUAUUUCGGUAUGUAAAGCUCUAUCAGCAGGGAAGAAGAAAUGACGGUACCUGACUAAGAAGCCCCGGCUAACUACGUG